GAUUUAUUGGGCGUAAAGCGAGCGCAGGCGGUCUUUUAAGUCUGAUGUGAAAGCCCACGGCUCAACCGUGGAGGGUCAUUGGAAACUGGAAGACUUGAAUGCAGAAGAGGAAAGUGGAAUUCCAUGUGUAGCGGUGAAAUGCGUAGAUAUAUGGAGGAACACCAGUGGCGAAGGCGACUUUCUGGUCUGUAAUUGACGCUGAGGCUCGAAAGCGUGGGGAGCGAACAGGAUUAGAUACCCUGGUAGUCCACGCCGUAAACGAUGAGUGCUAAGUGUUGGAGGGUUUCCGCCCUUCAGUGCUGGAGCUAACGCAUUAAGCACUCCGCCUGGGGAGUACGGCCGCAAGGCUGAAACUCAAAGGAAUUGACGGGGACCCGCACAAGCGGUGGAGCAUGUGGUUUAAUUC
rnacentral:rRNA from 1 species